GGGUGCUCCUGGGCGUUCCGGCCACGAUCAGUGCUCCAGCACCCUGGCUGUCUCCCCUCAGGUCCCCGCACCCCGAGCCUUCACCACGGACCCUCCACGGGCCGGGCUGCUGCCGCUCCC